CCCGUCCGUCCCAUCCUCUCGCCCCUCCCCCCUCUUCCUUACCGACGGCAGCGGGAACAGGGUGGUGGUAGUGGUGGCAGUGGUGGCGGCCGAAGCCCAGUAGCGUCCCCGGGAUCUGCCUCCGAGGAAGGGUUACAUCUAAUUCCUACUUCCUUGGCCCAAUUUUCCUUUGGAUGGAGUAGACUUGGAAUUUGGAAGACAUUGGUCUGAAUCCUGCCUUACACUCUUACUAGCUGCCUGACUACUACCCUGACAAAGUGUAUUCAAUUAUUUUUGAAAGAACAAUUGACCUUCUUGGACUCAGUUACCCCAACAUCUCUACCCAAAACACAGAGAAAACCCUCAGAAGUUACAAGACUUUACCUUUAAAUACAUUAUUUAAAAAAGAAGAAGAAGAAAGAAGAAAAGGGAGGUGCAGGAAGAGGUUACUAAACUUUUCUUUGAAUUCUGAGCAAAAUUAUAGCACUCAAUCUGAGAACAAAACUAUUUUUCAAAUAGUAUUUGAACAAACACUAUUUCAACCAGAUUAUUUUUCAAAAUCUGGUUAGAAUUGCUUUUGCAUUUAUUUUAGAGUGGGGGAAAAUGUUACAGAAGAAGUCAUAUUUGAUCCUGUUCAUGUUUUUUAAUUCUUGCCUUAUUUAGGAAAUGUCUUUUUGAGAGGGAAGGAAAUAAGUGUCUCAUAAUUUCUACCAUCUGCCAGCCACUUUACAAAUAUUAUCUCGUUUGAUCCCCACAAAAAGGUAGCUGCCACUAUUAUAUUCAAUUUACAGGUGAGGGAUCUGAGACAAAAAGAAAGUAAGUGGCUCAUAAGUGAUCACACAACUAGUAAGUGUGUAAGAAAGAGAACUUUGGUAAUUAGGAAGAUAUGUAAACUUUUUAAAUGUACUUCAAGUACCCAAAAGAAAGGGGAAUUGAUUUCUGCUCACUAAAACUUUAACUUGGACUAUAUGAUAAUCAUAAAUGCACCAAGAGAGAGUUUUCUUUCCCAUAAAGUCAUGGCCCCAACCACCAAGGUGGUGGGAGGAAAGUCAGGCACACUCUGCUCUUAGCUCAGUACCGGGCACACAGUAAGUAUGUAAUAUAUAUGUGUUGACUUAACUCAGGGAAGGUAGGGGUUUCUGGGGUCAUCACACCAAUUGGAAAUAUAGAAUCAGCCAAGUAGGCUAAGCAGGGUCCUGACCAAGGAGCAAAGAGCCCCACCAAAGAGAAUAUGGCAGACCCCAACAGUCUAUCAGUGCAGUGCAAGGUGUCCAGAUGCCAAAGGAAGCACAGUCUGGAGAAUAGAUGGCAGGGCAAGUAAGAAAAAUGAAUGCACAGGACAGAAGAGGCAGACCGGAGAAGGGAUUUCCAAUUCCAGGAAAGUCCUGGGAUGUCCCUUAUUGGUGGCGGCAAUAGUGGUGGUAGUGGCAUUGGUGGUGGGGUAUGUGUUUAAAUGUUUAAUGUUGGACAGAGAGAACGAGCACUAUUCCCUUGCUAACUGGGUUUGGAUAAAAAAAAAAUCUUAUUUCUCCUUAUAAUAUUCUUGGUGCUCAGUGUUUUGCAAAUUUAUUUACCAAUGGGGAAUUAAUACCCCUAUUGAGAACUAGAAAAGAACUAGAUUUUUGUGUUCUAAGAAGGACUUUUGGAUGGGGGCAAAAGUGAGCAAUAUAAAAUAUUAAUUGUUGAGAAGCCUAUGAGAAAUGAGCCUGAGUCCAGAGGAAUUGCUUUUCUGCAGUCAUGUGGGCCAUAGAGUAGAACUAUAAUGAGUUAUUUGUUCAAGAUGGUAUAGCAUUGAGCUAAAAUCAUUUGAUACACUAAAACUAAAAGCAAACAGACCCUUUUAAUUAAAGUUGUCACAUACAAAUGAAAGUGGAAAAUUUUUAGAGGAAAAUUGAAAACUUUCCCCCUAUAGAAUUCCUGCCAGCUCUUCUUAGAAUGGAAUGGAAAAAAGUCCUGCAGGUUUUAUCUGUUCUUGAAGAUUUCUUUUUUUUCUCUCUGUUGCUAAGGAGAUCUCUUUUAACCUUCUGGCUCCUCUUAUCAACAUAAAAUAUCUUUUUGGUGAUGCAUUUGACUCAUUCUACCAGAAUAUCAACAGCUUUUCAUCUUGAACAUCAGCUGUUCCACAGUUUAUGAUUAUGAAAACAGAAAGCAGCCUAUUUCUACCCACUUCAACAAAUUGAUUAUACAACUUGGUUUUUUUCAUUACUUCUAAUUUGCACUAAUCAAUUAAAGAUGAAUUAUGAUCCCUGUUUUCCAGAGUUGUAGUUAGUUCUUAGCCUGCCCGAUUUAGCAAGCUAUUAUUUAUUUUCUUCUCCUGCAAAGAUUCAUCUUCUUCUUUUUUUAAUAAUGCUGCAUUGCAAGCUCACAGCCCUAUUAAUGUUCACACCCUACAUAGUCUUGCAUACAUUCCAUUCAUCCUGCUCACCCAUUAUGGGUUAUUGCCAUCUGCUGGAAAAACAGGGUGGACUACCAGAUGAUCAUUUUGAAAUUCCCGGAAGUAAAUUGAGUUUGUUUUUAAUCCAGAAAAAUAAGGUCGAAUUUCUUUCUAUCAUCUGUAAUCUGCAAUCUUCGAAUGAGAACAUUUUCUGUUCCAGAUACUUUUAUCUAAAAUGAUAAUAAGUUUAACUACCCAGUUGAUGAGAAAGAGUUCACUUUCAAUGGGGAUCAAACUAACAAAAAAUUAUCCCCCAAAUGUGGCCCACAUCACCAAGUAACCACUGUGGCUGCAAAACAGCAAAGACAGAUGUUUCCAUCGCCUCUCCUAUACUAGCUGGGGGAAAGGGAUCAAACAUUCCUUUCCACCUCUACUGGAACAUGAUAGUACAUUUAAGACACUUAACAACUGUAGGGUUUAGUCACUCUUCAAGAAGAUGUAUUUGUAUACAAAGUUUAGUAUAGGAUACAGAGUGACAAAAUUAAUCUCCUAAAAAUACUGAAGAGAAAAAAAUAAAAAUACUGAAGAAUGUCUCUUUUCUUGAAGUCUUCUCUUUUUCCUCCCUUUCUGCCCUAACUGAAAAUAUCCUUCCUUUCUUUCCAAAUUUUCCUAGAGUACAUUUGUUUUGAUGUUUUCUUUUUCUGUGACUCACUUUAUCUUGUAUCAUAAUUGGUCAAAGCUAGGUGACCCAAUGGAUAGAGUGCCAGGCCUGAAGUCAGAAAGAUAUCUUUCUGAGUUCAAAUCUGGCCUCAUAUACUCACUAACUGUGUGACCCUGGGCAAGUCACUUAAUUCUAUUGGCCUUAAUUUCCUUAUCUAUAAAAUGAGUGAGAAAAGGAACUGUCAAACCACACUAGUAUCUUGGCCAAGAAAACUCCAAAUGAGGUCAUGAAGAGUCAUAAAUGACUGAACAUAGGAACAACAACAUAAUCAGUCAAGACCUGUGAUUUUAUUGGUCUAGGGAACUCCCAGUCUGGAAACUCCCAUCACUUGUCCUGAGAUUUAAAGUCUUGAAGAAUUCCAUGGGGCAUUGACAGGUUUAAGUAAAUAAAAUUAGCACAUAUUUGUUAUGCACCUACUAUGCGCCAGGUACUGUGCUAGGUAGGAAUGAUACAAAGACAAAAACAUAAUAGUCUUUUUUCCUUCACAAAGCACAAAUUAUAUUGGGGAGAAACAUAUGGACUUUUAUCAGAAAAGCAAAUACCAGUUAUGUACAAAAUAAUUGGGGGGGGGGUGGAGAGAAGGGAGAGUAUCAGCAACAAUGAGAAUGGAUUUUUCUUGUAGGAGAUGCCCAGUAUCCCACAGCCAGUUAUGACCCAGGUUUUUCCUACUCCAGGACCAAUUUUCUAUCAGUCAUGCCCCAAAUGUCUCUUUGUGAUAAAUAAUUCACAUUUACAUAGUGCCUUUAAGGUUUGGAACUCACUUUCUCACAGCAUCCCUGUGAAAGAGGUGGCACAAGAAUUAUUGUUCUCUCUUUUAUAGGCAAACAAACAGAUGACAAGUGACUUGUUUAUAACUAGUAAGGUCUGAGGCAGAAUCCACACUCAGAACUCUUGAUUCCAAUUUUCUUGCCACAGUCCACACCACCUCUUCUAGGCUUGUAUGAUAUGUUCCUUCUAUUUGAGCACACGUUUUUUAAGAUCUGGAGCAGGGUUCUUUUUCAUCUUUGCAUCCUAGCACCUAGAUAACACAAUACCUGACACACGGGCCAUUGCUCAGGGUGUGAUUGAAUUUAACUCAGUUUCAGGGAAUUGACCUGCAGUAUCAGAAUUCCUCAAGAGCCCAAGUAGAAGAGGACAACUUUGAAAUGAGGUUGACCUCUAUAGGGUGCACAGAAGGAGAAGAAGCUUCCUUCCUCAGCAUAGAAUACAGAAAUGGCCCUAAGAAACAAUGGAAAAUUAGACUGAUUGCAUUGCUCAAAUUACAGACCCAUUUUCUUUGUUGGUAGAUGUCAGACUAUGACUAAAAUCAGUCAGUGGGAUCAAAAACAGUAGCAAUGAAAUCUGACAAAGCAUUAAUUAAAUGCCUACUCCAAUGCUUCAGUGAUAGUCACGUUUCUAGGUUAUUAUUACUGUGUUUAUUUAGCACCUUAUAUUUCCAAAGAGCUUUAAUCAUUAUUGCUAAGUCUUGACACUAUCCAGACAAGGUGGGUCAAUGCUAUUAUUCCAAUUUAACAGAUAAGGGCAGCACAAAGGUAUUAUUAUCCUGGUGCAGUUAGAGAAUGCUGGGUAUUUUCAGAGCCCUCGACCAUAAUUCACCAUUAACGCCUCAUGCCAUCAUUGCAAGGUGAGCGUGUGCCAUUACUCCCACUUAGCAGAUGGAGGGAGGUUAAAAGGCUUCCUGCCCCAAGGGCCUGCAGAAAGUCCACAGCAGAACUGGGGAAUGAGCUGGAAGCUUCUGAUUGAUUGCUGCCCAGCCCUGUGAGUCAGCAGACUUCACUGCAGCAGCUCAAUGGGCUUUUGAAUUAAAAAAAAUUUACUUGUUUGUUCUCAGGUUUCCUCCUUCAUGACAGGGAGCCUCAAAACAUUGUUUUUAUCAUUUUGGCUCUUGCUUCUCACAAGGUUCUUUAGUCUAUUUAAUCCUUGAAGAUUUUGAGAAAGAAAUGUUUGAUCUUUUCUGUUCCCAGGGAUGUAUACAGAAAACCUGGGCUGGCAGGGUUAAGUGAGAGAACCUUCUAGAAUAUAACUUAAAGAAAAAAACACUUAAAUAAGGAAUAGGAGAAAGGCGGCUGUGCCAUUUCUCUAACCCUAGAAGGCUAAGUCACUUUUAAGGACCAAUUAUCUCUAUUAAAUCAGAUAGGAAGUCAUGUGAAGAGGAAACAGUGAACUAGAAGGAAGAGAAGUUCCAGAAAGAUGUGCCUUUUUCAUUGCAAGCCUCACUUUGUUCACAGCUCUGGAAUCAGGUCAACCAGAUUCAUGGAUGAUAAGAGACCAUGUUUGAGUUUCUCCCCUGAAAUAUUUUCAUGUUUCAUUGAACAUAGGUGAAUACCUCCUUUGAGGGGUACAAAGUAUCAGGCCUGUAAGAUCUAGCCAAACUGGAGGGAAGUAUGUGAACAAACAGAUGGAGAAGUAUCUCCACUGAGGUUUAGGGUAGCCAUACAGGUUAACUGGGGGAAAGUUGCCAUUUCCAUUAGAAUUACUUUGCUAUCUUCAGAAAUUGUAGAUUGAACCAUAAUCAUAGAAAUCCUUCACUCUUCAAAGGAAAGAUCAGGGUCCUAUAAAAAACACCUGAGAGGCAAAAGGGAGAAGGAUCUAGAAGGCGGGCCCAGGAAGGACCAUCUCAUUCCAGCCUUGCCUCAGACACAGAUUGGCUAUGUGACCUCCCAAGGUCCUACACGAUUCUCUGAUUAUAAAUUGCUGAGCAACUGCAGCUAUAUCCCCUCCUUGGUCUUACACCAAUGAAAUUGCAGG